rnacentral:rRNA from 1 species
UACGUAGGUGGCAAGCGUUGUCCGGAUUUACUGGGCGUAAAGGGCUCGUAGGCGGCCAACUAAGUCGGAUGUGAAAUCCCCCAGGCUCAACCUGGGAACUGCAUCCGAUACUGGAUGGCUUGAAUUCGGGAGAGGGAUGCAGAAUUCCAGGUGUAGCGGUGAAAUGCGUAGAUAUCUGGAGGAAUACCGGUGGCGAAGGCGGCAUCCUGGACUGGUCCUGACACUCAGGAGCGAAAGCGUGGGGAGCGAUCCGG